rnacentral:rRNA from 1 species
GACGAACGCUGGCGGCGUGCUUAACACAUGCAAGUCGAACGGAAAGGCCCUGCUUUUGUGGGGUGCUCGAGUGGCGAACGGGUUAGUAACACGUGAGUAACCUGCCCUUGACUUUUGGAUAACUUCAGGAAACUGGGGCUAAUACCGGAUAGGAGCUCCUGCUGCAUGGUGGGGGUUGGAAAGUUUCGGCGGUUGGGGAUGGACUCGCGGCUUCUCAGCUUGUUGGUGGGGUAGUGGCUUACCAAGGCUUUGACGGGUAGCCGGCCUGAGAGGGUGACCGGCCACAUUGGGACUGAGAUACGGCCCAGACUCCUACGGGAGGCAGCAGUGGGGAAUAUUGCAAAAUGGGCGGAAGCCUGAUGCAGCAACGCCGCGUGCGGGAUGACGGCCUUAGGGUUGUAAACCGCUUUCGCCUGGGACGAAGAGUGAGUGACGGGAAUGGGUAAAGAAGAACCGGCUAACUAAGGG